GACGAACGCUGGCGGCGUGCUUAACACAUGCAAGUCGAACGGAAAGGCCCCUUUGGGGGUACUCGAGUGGCGCACGGGUGAGUAACACGUGAGUAACCUGCCCUUGACUUCGGGAUAACUUCAGGAAACUGGGGCUAAUACCGGAUAGGAAUCCUUGCUGCAUGGUGGGGGUUUGAAAGCUUCGGCGGUUUUGGAUGGACUCGCGGCUUAUCAGCUUGUUGGUGGGGUAGUGGCUUACCAAGGCUUUGACGGGUAGCCGGCCUGAGAGGGCGACCGGCCACAUUGGGACUGAGAUACGGCCCAGACUCCUACGGGAGGCAGCAGUGGGGAAUAUUGCACAAUGGGCGGAAGCCUGAUGCAGCAACGCCGCGUGCGGGAUGACGGCCUUCGGGUUGUAAACCGCUUUCAGCAGGGGCGAAGCUUGUGGUGACGGUACCUGCAGAAGAAGCACCGGCUAACUACGUG
rnacentral:rRNA from 1 species